rnacentral:rRNA from 1 species
GACGAACGCUGGCGGCGUGCUUAACACAUGCAAGUCGAACGGAAAGGCCCCUUUGGGGGUACUUGAGUGGCGAACGGGUGAGUAACACGUGAGUAACCUGCCCUUGACUUCGGGAUAACUUCAGGAAACUGGGGCUAAUACCGGAUAGGAAUCCUUGCUGCAUGGUGGGGGUUGGAAAGCUUCGGCGGUUUUGGAUGAACUCGCGGCUUAUCAGCUUGUUGGUGGGGUAGUGGCUUACCAAGGCUUUGACGGGUAGCCGGCCUGAGAGGGCGACCGGCCACAUUGGGACUGAGAUACGGCCCAGACUCCUACGGGAGGCAGCAGUGGGGAAUAUUGCACAAUGGGCGGAAGCCUGAUGCAGCAACGCCGCGUGCGGGAUGACGGCCUUCGGGUUGUAAACCGCUUUCAGCAGGGGCGAAGCUUUUGUGACGGUACCUGCAGAAGAAGCACCGGCUAACUACGUG